GACAGAUGGAAGUCGUAUUCUUGCCUCGGUGACCUUGGAGUUCAGGGAAUAGGAAUACCUAGAUUGGAGGGAGAAGAGUAUCUAUCUAUUGUUGAUGAAUUUAUGGAAGUCGUGCAUACAUUUUGAGGAUUUUCAAAUGAAAUGGGCUUUUGAAACAUUACAACGUUAUCGUAAGAGGUUCUGCAUGUUCAACGAUGACA